rnacentral:lncRNA from 10 species
UGUGAUGGGUGCAGAGUGGUGGUUGCUCCCAGCCAGGUCAUUUCAAUAACAACAGGAGACUACAGUUCCUGCUGAAUGGCAUCUUUCAGGCUGAAGAGCUUCCGCAGUCUCUCCACUUCCAUACUGAUUAGAAGUGCUUGAGAUACAUCAUAACAGUGAUGAUGAGCACUGUCUGGGCUCCAGUUCGGCGGGCUUUGCCAUUCAGGCAUCCAGCGCAGCUGACAAGCCCGAGGAUCGAUGGAGAAGACACUGUCCAAUUCAGCUUUCUGUCCUCAUUACCUGAC